rnacentral:rRNA from 1 species
GCGACGACGGGUAGCCGGCCUGAGAGGGUGACCGGCCACACUGGGACUGAGACACGGCCCAGACUCCUACGGGAGGCAGCAGUGGGGAAUAUUGCACAAUGGGCGCAAGCCUGAUGCAGCGACGCCGCGUGAGGGAUGACGGCCUUCGGGUUGUAAACCUCUUUCAGUAGGGAAGAAGCGAAAGUGACGGUACCUGCAGAAGAAGCGCCGGCUAACUACGUGCCAGCAGCCGCGGUAAUACGUAGGGCGCAAGCGUUAUCCGGAAUUAUUGGGCGUAAAGAGCUCGUAGGCGGUUUGUCGCGUCUGCCGUGAAAGUCCGGGGCUCAACUCCGGAUCUGCGGUGGGUACGGGCAGACUAGAGUGAUGUAGGGGAGACUGGAAUUCCUGGUGUAGCGGUGAAAUGCGCAGAUAUCAGGAGGAACACCGAUGGCGAAGGCAGGUCUCUGGGCAUUAACUGACGCUGAGGAGCGAAAGCAUGGGGAGCGAACAGGAUUAGAUACCCUGGUAGUCCAUGCCGUAAACGUUGGGCACUAGGUGUGGGGGACAUUCCACGUUUUCCGCGCCGUAGCUAACGCAUUAAGUGCCCCGCCUGGGRAGUACGG